rnacentral:rRNA from 1 species
GACGAACGCUGGCGGCGUGCCUAAUACAUGCAAGUUGAGCGAUGAAGAUUGGUGCUUGCCCCAAUUUGAAGAGCAGCGAACGGGUGAGUAACGCGUGGGGAAUCUGCCUUUGAGCGGGGGACAACAUUUGGAAACGAAUGCUAAUACCGCAUAAUAACUUUAAACAUAAGUUUUAAGUUUGAAAGAUGCAAUUGCAUCACUCAAAGAUGAUCCCGCGUUGUAUUAGCUAGUUGGUGAGGUAAAGGCUCACCAAGGCGAUGAUACAUAGCCGACCUGAGAGGAUGAUCAGCCACAUUGGGACUGAGACACGGCACAAACUCCUACGGGAGGCAGCAGUAGGGAAUCUUCGGCAAUGGGCGAAAGUCUGACCGGGCAACGCCGAAGGAGUGAAGAAGGAUUUCGGAUCGUAAAACUCUGUUAGUAGAGAAGAACGUUGGUGAGAGUGGAAAGCUCAUCAAGUGACGGUAACUACCCAGAAAGGGACGGCUAACUACGUG